rnacentral:rRNA from 1 species
UAACACCAGAGCCACAAGUGGUAACCAUGUUUAUUGGGUCUAAAGCAUCUGUAGCCGGUUUGAUAAGUUUUUCGUGAAAUCGUUUAGCUCAACUGAACGGCGUGCGAGAAAUACUGUUAGACUUGGAACCGGGAGGAGGUAGGAGUAUUUCAAGGGGAGCGGUAGAAUGCUAUAAUCCUUGGAGGACUACCUGUGGCGAAGGCGCCUACCUAGAACGGCUUCGACGGUGAGAGAUGAAAGCUGGGGGAGCGAUCUGGAUUAGAUACCCAAGUAGUCCUAGCUGUAAACUCUGCGAGCUAUGUGUUGCAUGUUCUUUGUGGACAUGCAGUGCCUAAGCGAAGGUGUUAAGCUCGCCACCUGGGAAGUAUGGCCGCAAGACUG